GGUUUAAAAAUUUUUGGGGGGGGUUUUUAAAUUUUUUUUUACUUGCUCAGGACGAACGCUGGCGGCGUGCCUAAUACAUGCAAGUCGAGCGAAUGUGAGGGAGCUUGCUCCCAAAGAUCAGCGGCGGACGGGUGAGUAACACGUGGGCAACCUGCCUGUAAGAUUGGGAUAACUCCGGGAAACCGGGGCUAAUACCGGAUAAUAUCUAUUUAUACAUAUAAUUAGAUUGAAAGAUGGUUUUGGUAUCAAUUACAGAUGGGCCCGCGGCGCCUUAGGUAGUUGGUGAGGUAACGGCUCACCAAGGGGACGAUGCGUAGCCGACCUGAGAGGGUGAUUGGCCACAAUGGGAAUGAGACACGGCCCAGACUCCUACGGGAGGCAGCCGUAGGGAAUUUUUCGCAAUGGACGAAAGUUUGACGGAGCAACGCCGCGUGAGUGAUGAAGGUCUUCGGAUUGUAAAACUUUGUUGUUAGGGAAGAACCAGUACCGGAGUAACUGCCGGUACCUUGACGGUACCUAACCAGAAAGCCACGGCUAACUACGUGCCAGCAGCCGCGGUAAUACGUAGGUGGCAAGCGUUGUCCGGAAUUAUUGGGCGUAAAGCGCGCGCAGGCGGUUCCUUAAGUCUGAUGUGAAAGCCCACGGCUCAACCGUGGAGGGUCAUUGGAAACUGGGGAACUUGAGUGCAGAAGAGGAAAGUGGAAUUCCAAGUGUAGCGGUGAAAUGCGUAGAGAUUUGGAGGAACACCAGUGGCGAAGGCGACUUUCUGGUCUGUAACUGACGCUGAGGCGCGAAAGCGUGGGGAGCAAACAGGAUUAGAUACCCUGGUAGUCCACGCCGUAAACGAUGAGUGCUAAGUGUUAGAGGGUUUCCGCCCUUUAGUGCUGCAGCUAACGCAUUAAGCACUCCGCCUGGGAUACACGAAGGUGG
rnacentral:rRNA from 2 species